AACGAACGCUGGCGGCAUGCCUAACACAUGCAAGUCGAACGAAGGCUUCGGCCUUAGUGGCGCACGGGUGCGUAACGCGUGGGAAUCUGCCCUUUGGUUCGGAAUAACAGCUGGAAACGGCUGCUAAUACCGGAUGAUGACUAAAGUCCAAAGAUUUAUCGCCAGAGGAUGAGCCCGCGUUGGAUUAGGUAGUUGGUGGGGUAAAGGCCUACCAAGCCGAGGAUCCAUAGCUGGUCUGAGAGGAUGAUCAGCCACACUGGGACUGAGACACGGCCCAGACUCCUACGGGAGGCAGCAGUGGGGAAUAUUGGAAAAUGGGCGCAAGCCUGAUCCAGCAAUGCCGCGUGAGUGAUGAAGGCCGUAGGGUUGUAAAGCUCUUUUAACCGGGAAGAUAAUGACUGUACCGGGAGAAUAAGCCCCGGCUAACUCCGUG
rnacentral:rRNA from 1 species